GAUGAACGCUAGCGGCAGGCCUAAUACAUGCAAGCCGGACGGCAAGUUGAGUAGCAAUACUUGACCUAGAGUGGCGUAAGGGUGCGUAACACGUAUGCAAAUCUGCCCACAGCCGGGAGAUAGCCCUCCGAAAGGAGGAUUAAUAUCCCAUAGGAAGAUGAGAUGGCAUCAUUUUAUUUUAAACUACGGGGCUGUGGAUGAGCAUGCGGUUGAUUAGCUAGUUGGCGGGGUAAAGGCCCACCAAGGCGAUGAUCAAUAGGGGGACCUGAGAGGGUGAUCCCCACACUGGCACUGAGAUACGGGCCAGACUCCUACGGGAGGCAGCAGUAGGGAAUAUUGGACAAUGGGGUGUAAGCC
rnacentral:rRNA from 1 species